rnacentral:rRNA from 1 species
UCGAUUCCCUUAGUAGCGGCGAGCGAAACGGGAAGAGCCCAAACCAACAAGCUUGCUUGUUGGGGUUGUAGGACACUCUAUACGGAGUUACAAAGGACGACAUUAGACGAAUCAUCUGGAAAGAUGAAUCAAAGAAGGUAAUAAUCCUGUAGUCGAAAAUGUUGUCUCUCUUGAGUGGAUCCUGAGUACGACGGAGCACGUGAAAUUCCGUCGGAAUCUGGGAGGACCAUCUCCUAAGGCUAAAUACUCUCUAGUGACCGAUAGUGAACCAGUACCGUGAGGGAAAGGUGAAAAGCACCCCGGAAGGGGAGUGAAAUAGAACCUGAAACCGUGUGCUUACAAGUAGUCAGAGCCCGUUAAUGGGUGAUGGCGUGCCUUUU